rnacentral:rRNA from 1 species
GACGAACGCUGGCGGCGUGCUUAACACAUGCAAGUCGAACGAAGUGGCGAACGGGUGAGUAACGCGUAAUCAACCUGCCCUUCAGAGGGGGAUAACAGUUGGAAACGACUGCUAAUACCGCAUACUGAAGGAGGGGACUGCGUCGGAUUCGGUAGUUGGAGGGGUAACGACCCACCAAGGCGAGGAGCAGUAGGCGGUCUUAUGGGGUGAACGGCCACAUUGGGACUGAGUCACGGCCCAAACUCCGACGGGAGGCAGCAGUGGGGAAUCUUCCGCAAUGGACGAAAGUCUGACGGAGCAACGCCGCGGGAGUGAUGACGGCCUUCGGGUUGUAAAGCUCUGUUAAUCGGGACGCGGUACCGGAAUAGAAAGCCACGGCUAACUACGUGCCAGCAGCCGCGGUAAUUC